GAUGAACGCUGGCGGCGUGCUUAACACAUGCAAGUCGAACGAGAAGUGAAGACGGAAACCUUCGGGCGGAAGGCUUUAUUUCGAGUGGCGGACGGGUGAGUAACGCGUGGGUAACCUGCCUCAUACAGGGGGAUAACAGUUGGAAACGACUGUUAAUACCGCAUAAGACCACAGCACCGCAUGGUGCGGGGGUAAAAACUCCGGUGGUAUGAGAUGGACCCGCGUUCGAUUAGCCAGUUGGCGGGGUAACGGCCCACCAAAGCGACGAUCGAUAGCCGAUCUGAGAGGAUGACCGGCCACAUUGGGACUGAGACACGGCCCAAACUCCUACGGGAGGCAGCAGUGGGGAAUAUUGCACAAUGGAGGAAACCCUGAUGCAGCGACGCCGCGUGAGUGAAGAAGUAUUUCGGUAUGUAAAGCUCUAUCAGCAGGGAAGAAAAUGACGGUACCUGAGUAAGAAGCCCCGGCUAACUACGUG
rnacentral:rRNA from 1 species